rnacentral:rRNA from 1 species
AUUGAACGCUAGCGGGAUGCCUUACACAUGCAAGUCGAACGGAUUGGCGAACGGGUGCGUAAUGUAUCGGAACGUGCCCGGUAGCGGGGGAUAACUACGCGAAAGCGUAGCUAAUACCGCAUACUAUUGGAGCGGCCGAUACGGGAUUAGCUAGUUGGUGGGGUAACGGCUCACCAAGGCGACGAUCCGUAGCCGGUUUGAGAGGAAGACCAGCCACACUGGGACUGAGACACGGCCCAGACUCCUACGGGAGGCAGCAGUGGGGAAUUUUGUACAAUGGGCGAACGCCUGAUCCAGCCAUCCCGCGUGUGCGAUGAAGGCCUUCGGGUUGUAAAGCACUUUUGGCAGGAAAGCGGUACCUGCAGAAGAAGCACCGGCUAACUACGUGCCAGCAGCCGCGGUAAUAC